AAAUGAAAAAUUCAAUUCGGGUUAUGAUAGAAAAACGAGAGAAAGCCAUGAAGAAUGGUGAAUCCUGCAAUGAAGAUUUAUUAGGCAUACUCGUGGAAUCAAAUCAAAUGGAAAUCCAGGGAAAUGGAAACAAUAAGAGUGUUGGAAUGACGAUUGAAGAAGUAAUUAGUGAAUGCAAAUUAUUCUACAUAGCAGGGCAAGAGACCACUUCAACUCUGCUGGUUUGGACAUUGAUCAUGUUGAGUAAAUAUCCUGAAUGGCAAUCACGAGCAAGGGAGGAAGUUUUUCAUGUUUUUGGAAAACAAAAUCCAAACUUUGAUGGGUUAAGUCUGCUUAAAAAUGUAUGUAUCACAUGCUUUCAUUUGAUUAUCUUUAUUAUCUAUUAAAAAUACAUUUUCAUGCUAACUUGUGCACAAAUGUUUCUUCCUAACUUGUGCACAAAUGUUUCUUCCGUAGAUGACCAUGAUUCUAUACGAGGUUCUAAGGUUAUACCCUCCCAACCUUUACUUCAAUCGCACUCUUAAGAAGGACAUGGAACUUGGAAACCUGUCACUACCCGCAGGAGUAGAUGUUACCAUGCCAAUACUUUUAGUUCACCAGGAUGGUGAUAUCUGGGGUAAUGAUGCAAAGGAGUUCAAACCAGAAAGGUUUUCUGAGGGAGUUGCUAAGGCAACAAAAGGCCAAGUCUCCUUUUACCCAUUUGGAUGGGGUCCUAGAAUUUGCAUUGGCCAAAACUUUACUAUGUUGGAAGCCAAGAUAGUGUUGUCAUUGCUUCUGCAGAAUUUCUCGUUCGAGCUUUCUCCUGUCUAUGUACAUGCUCCUGCACUUAUGCUUACUUUGCAGCCCAAACAGGGGGCGCCCCUUAUUGUGCGAAAGCUAUGAUACUUAAUCAUAUUUUGACCUAGAAGGUCAUGGUUUGUAGGUUGAUUCAAAGUAUGUAUCUUUUAAGAACUUGUUUGUAAUGCAUGUGUUUGAAUUGCGUCACGUGGUUUAGUGACAAAGUAUUAUUGGUUGAUGCAUAACGAAAAGAAACAAAUACUUUUGUUCUUAUAAAUUAUCCAAGACCGAAUGUCACUAUCAAGUUGUUUCUGUCUUCUCUUCAUUCCGAACAAUCUUUUAGAAUUAUGAGAGGGCGGGGUACCUGUAAAGAUACUCUUACGUUCAACAUAGACGAGUUCUAUAAGGAAAGCCAAAUGCAAGGUUCAGAGUAAUGCUACCUUUUACCAUGGAGGUCCCCUCUUAUUUAUAUUGCUUUGGUGGGCCUUAAUUUGUUAGAGCGGUUAAAUCGGACCCAAUAAGAGAUAAUCUUGCUUUGCUACCUCCUAAUUGAAAUUAGCACCCUUAUCCUGUGAUUUGACGUGGAUGCUGGUUUGUGCCAAAAGGCCAUUAGGACGUCUGAUUGGGCUACCAUUCGAAUUUCAGGUUCGUGGUAUAACACUUGCUCCCAGGCUUGAGUCUUUGUGAGAAAAAGAAAAGUCGUGAAACGGGAUUCAGCCGCAUUGUCAAUCGUUAAGCGUUUAACCGUGGGGUAUGGCAUUUUGUUUAUGGUGGUGAUGACGCGACAUGUGAUUGACAUAUCGUGUCAGUUCCUUUCUCUCCUUUUAUGCUUUAUCUGGUCAUCUCCUCGGCCUACUUAAGGUAACCAGCCAUGUCUUCUUCUACAUCUGAUAGCUCUACCCUAAGAGCAAGGUUAUCAAACUUGCGGGUUGACUCUUAAACUCGUUCGAGUUUAAGAGUCUAGUGGUGACUCACGAGUUAACUCGUGAGUAGACUCGUUUUUUGCAAACUCGGAGUGGACUCAAGCAGACUUGCUGAACUCGGUGCAAACUCGCGAGUUGGAGCCCAAGUCAACGAGUUCACCUUGCCUCGUGUUUUCGAAGUCUCAAAUCUCCACGCCUCGCCUCCACUGUGCUUCGCCUUACCUUCAUCGUGUCUCGCCUCGCCGCACUUCCUUGCGCUUCUUCGCUCCUCGUUGCAGCCCCGUUCAGGUCUGCGAUUAGGUUGGGUUGUGCUAUUGCAGUGCAUGGCUGUGGAUUUGAGGGGUUGGGAAAUUUUAAUUUUAGGGUUUGUUUAUAGGGGAAGAUUGGGGGUGUGCAGCUGUGGGUUGAGAAGUUGGAAAAUAUUAACUUUAGGUUUGUUGAUAGGGGCAAAUUGGGAAUUAUCCUGAAAGUGAUUUUUAAAGUAUUGGGUCAGAUAUUUUUUGAAAUAAGAUUAGGAUAAAAUUAUUUUUUAUUAUUUUGAUUUUGGUUAGUACAAUGAAAAUGUGGAAUUACUGCUCAAAUGUGUAACAAGUGAAAUGUAAUUAUGCUUUAAAAACAUUUAAUAGAUAUAUUUAAUAUUAUAGAAUUGGUAUAUGAAUAUUUUUUUAUUGAAUUUUUACACAAAGUAGAUUCUUACGAGUCUAUUAGUCGGGUUUACGAGUCGAGUUUACCGACCUUCCAGGAGUCUACUUAGACUCUCGAGUUUGAUAACUUUUCCUAAAAGUGUCUAGAAUUGAUGGCACCAUUUUGUAGUGUGAGGUUGUUCAUCUCUUGGACACUGAUUCGACCAAUUCUGAGAGUUCUUCAGAGUCUUUUCAUGUCAGCGAUAAUGCUGUAGCGGGUGUGGCUGCCGAGGAUGUUCGUCCUUCGGCCGUCCCAAUCACCGAUGCUGCCAAACAAGGUGCCCUAUCUAUCCGGAAAAUCGAGUAUGAGUAGGUUGACAUCAACGUACGAAAGCAUAUUUCUCGAUUUGGCACAACCACCUCGUUGAAGUCCUUUAGCGCUAGUGUAGAUAUGUUGAAUUCGGAUGCCACGAAUGGGACUGUUUCCAUUCGAAGGUGUUCGUCUUUCGACGUUGUACCGUCACUUUUGAAGAGGGGAAAGCUCUUCUAUAAGGAGCUUCGAAGACAAAGACGGGAUGUUGUCGGCCAAGCUCUUCUUGCUCAAGUCGAAAUUGUGGAACCGUUGCGUUCGGUUCCGGCUAGAGAGACACUUCCACCUCUGACUCCGCUUAAGGUUGGGAGGAAAAAAGAACAUGAGAAAUCAUCCCGUCGCUAUUUUGAUAGGUCAUCAUCCGAGAGAUCCCAUAAGCGGUCACAUAUUGAGGCCGGUACUAGCUCGUCUCGGGACUUCCUUGGCCCGAAUCUCCAUUUUGGUGACAGGAUCUCAAUCUUGCCGGGCUCGGCAAACAAGGAGGAUGUGAAGUUGGCGACAUCUUCUAAAUUGGCCUAAUCAAUCUUGGAGUUGAGCGCUCGAGUUCUUGUUCUCGGCAAACGAAUGGGUAUCGCUCUCAAGGCUCAAUUGGCCGAGUCCACCUCCUCACUUUGUUAUUAUUAUGAGACAGAGGAAAUUAAAGGUUCUGAUAUAAACUAAUGUAUAUUAUUGUGUGUUGAUAAAGAAGCAAUUUAUACAUAGGGUAACACAUGGGUACCCUUAACAGCCCCCCCCUAAAUGCAUGGUUGGAUUAGCUAUAAUCAUGAGUUUAUCCCGUACAUGAAGAAACAAUAUGCCAGAAACAGGCUUGGUAAGUGGAUCAACAACUUGAAAGCGUGCAGGAAGAUGAAGAAGUUGAAUUUUCUGCUUCUAAACUUGAUCACGAACAAAGUGUAGGUCCGGUUCAAAGUAUUUCGUUUUAGAGUGCAUAACAGGAUUUGUAUUGAGCAGAACAACACCAAGAUUAUCAUAAUACAACUUUGUUUUUGAAACUUGAAUGCGCAGCUCAGAAAGAAGAGACUGAAUCCACACAAUUUCAGCAAGGAGAGCUGCAACUGCCCGAUAUUCUGCUUCCAUACUACUUAUGUAAACCGUUUUCUGUUUGUGGGAUGACCAUGAAAUAAGAUUAUAGCCCAUGAAAAUACAAUAGCCAGUGGUGGAUUUGCGGUCAUCGACGUCAGCACCCCAAUCUGCAUCUGCAAAGCCAAUAAGAGAGGUUGUCGAGUUGUGGCGAAGGAGCAAUCCAUGUGUAAUGGUGCCAGCUAAAUAACAAAGAAUUCUCUUUACAGCUUGCCAGUGGUGAAGUUUCGGAUCAGGCAUAAAUUGACAAACACGAUUAACAGAGUAAGAGAGUUCAGGCCUAGUUAUAAGAAGAUAUUGAAGUGUACCAACAACUGACCUAUACAGUGAAGGAUCAUUGAAUGAUUCAGAAGAAUUUUUUUGGAGACGCGAAGAGGAUGUCAUAGGCGCGGGUUGAGGUUUAGCAUGGAACAUAUUUGUUUUCUGUAACAGCUCACGUAUGUGUUGAACCAAGUGGUGUUCAUGUUUUGAAGAAUCCAAAUCCUUUGAAGGAUGUUGAAGUCUCUGCUAUGCUUGAUGUUGUUGUGCUGGUUUAAAGCUUUGUUCUGGGGCAGUUUAUAUGUUGUAAUCCACCCUGUGAUUAAAUCUAAAGCAUUAGCAUUCUCAAUCUUUGUGAAAGUAAAAUGUUUUCAAACUAAGUUAAAACAACCGAUUGUUUUGUCGAAACAACCGAUUGUUUAUACUUAGGUGUUUUGAGAAAAAGAUUGAAAACUGUUUUUAAUGGUUGAACUGUUAAAGUACCAAAACAACCGAUUGAUUCUAGGAAACAACCGAUUGAUUCGAGGAAACAACCGAUUGUUUGUUUUGGGACCAUAACAGAAAAAUUGUUUUCUCUUUGACUGAGCUUUAAAUGUUUUAACUACUUACGCUCUAGUCAUUAAAUGCUUUGACCAAUCUUUUAAUGCAAUUUAAGAGUUUAUUAAGAUUUGAUAACAAACUACAUCUUUGAAUAAUUUAAAAAAAAAAAAACAGAUUUGACAAUUAAGAAUUUCUGACAAAGUUUUUCCAAAUAGUUUUUUCAAAGUGCUGAGAUUGCUAAGAGUUUGUUAUUGGUCAAAGUGUUGGAAUAUGAUUCUGCUUGUAUUGAUUUCAGAUUAUCUUCUGUAACAAGUGUAAUCCUUGUACUCUAUUGAACAAUUCGGUUCUGUGUUUGCUGAGAUUGGCUGUGUGUUCUUGAGGUGUUCAAGAUCAGCAAUCUUAGUGUAGGCCAAGGAGAGUGUGUUUCUUGAGGUGUUCAAGGUCAUUCUCUUGGUUGUUGUGUAAGUGAUCAAGUGGUGAUUGCUUAGUGGAUUUCCUCAGGGUUUCUGAGAAGACUGGAUGUAGCUCUGGUUUGGAGUGAACCGGUAUAAACAACUGUGUACAAUCUCUUUAUCUCUAACUCUUUAAAUUCAGUUUAUUUGUUGUUUGCUGGUAUAAACAACCGAUUGUUUCUACGAAACAACCGAUUGUUUUUCUGGUACUACAGCUUUUGCUUGCUGUUUUGGCUAACUGAAUUGCUGAAUCAAUUGGUUCCUGAGAUAAAUUCAUGGAGAAGGUUGGAAAAAACAUGUUUAAACAAAUUCACCCCGCCCGCGCCUGUGGUUUAAAGCCAUGUUUUCUAACAAUUGGCAUCAAGAGCUUGGUUCUUGAAAGUUAUUCAAGUUGAUCCUAAAAUUCUUUUUAAAUGGCUGAUAGACUACCUUUUUGGGAAGGUGCUUCAAUUAACAUACCACCUUUGUUUUGUGGUUUGAACUACCAGUUUUGGAAAGUAAGAAUGAAAAUAUUUAUGGAAUCUCUUGACAAAGGAAUUUGGGAUGCAAUUGAAAAUGGUCUUUUUAUCCCAAAGUUUGAAAAGGAUGGAUCUGUCAUUGAGAAGCCAUGGUCUCAAUGGACUGAUGUAGAAAGCAAAAAGGCCAAAUUCGAUUGCAUUGCCAAAAAUAUUAUAACCUCUGCUUUAAAUUCUGAUGAGUUUUUCAGGGUCUCGCAAUGCAAAUCAUCAAAAGAAAUGUGGGACACUUUGGAAGUCACUCAUGAAGGAACAAAUGAGGUGAAAAGAGCUAGAAAGCAUGCUCUCAUCCAAGAGUAUGAGAUGUUUAGAAUGCUUAAAGGAGAAACAAUUGCUGAGGUGCAGAAAAGGUUUACGCACAUCAUCAAUCACCUUAUGAGCCUAGACAAGACCUUUGAUAAAGAAGAGCUGAACAUCAAGAUCUUGAAAUGUCUUGAUAGAGCAUGACAACCAAAGGUAACUGCUAUUUCCGAAUCUAAAGAUCUAACAUCAUUAAGUGUUGCUUCUUUGUUUGGAAAGCUUAGGGAACAUGAGUUAAAGAUGAAUAGACUCAACGUUCAAGAGAGUGAAGAUAAGCACACAAGGAGCAUAGCCUUGAAAGCAUCCAAACACAAGGGAAAUCAAGAUUCUAGUGAUGAUAGUGAUGAGGAAAACCUUAGCUUGCUAUCAAGAAAAUUCAGCAAAUUCCUAAAGAGAAACCGCAACAAAGACAACAACAAGGAUAGGUAUGGAAACAAGAAACCCAAUGAAUUCAAUUCAAAUAACUAUACUUGUUUUGGUUGUGGUCAGCAAGGUCAUAUAAAGGCAGAUUGUCCUAACAAGAGCAAAGAGAUAAAGACUAGUUACAAGGAAAAGAAAGGCAAGACAAAAAGAGCCUACAUAGCUUGGGAUGAAAAUGAGGUGUCAUCAUCAGGUUCUUCAUCAAGUGAAGAUGAAAAAGCAAACAUAUGUUUGGUAGCUGAAAAUGAUGAUGAAUCUUGCAGCUCAAGUGAGGUAAGUUCACGUGCUUCCUUAAAUGAACAAAAUUAUAGUGAAUUACUUGAAGUUUUUCAAGAAACACAUGAUGAAGCUAAUAGAUUGGUUCUUUCAACAACCGAUUGAAAGAUCUUAACAGUUGGCUUGAAAAGAAAGUUAAAUCACCUGAAGAGGAUCUGGAAAAAGCAAAAAGUGAUUUUGAAAAAUUGGAAAAUCAUUUCAAAAAUGCCUCUUACAAGUGUGAUACUCUCAUUUGCACAAAUUGUGAAAAUCUUGAGAAAAAGGUUCACUAUCUUAUUGAAACUGUGGACAAACUUUCAAAGGGGAAAUCAAACUUUGAGAAUGUCUUGGCAUCUCAAAGCUGUGUUUUUGGAAAGGCUGGUUUAGGCUUUAAUCCACAGAACAAGCAAGAUAGGUUUUCAAAUUUUUUUUCAAGAAAAUUAGAAAAACAACCGAUUGUUAAGACGAAACAACCGGUUGUUACAUGCUUUUACUACAUGAAGAAAGGUCACUCUGUUAGGUUCUGUAAAAUUAGAAAAUAUUCUGCUCCAAGAGGUUUUAUGAAAUGGAUUCCUAAGGGAUGUGAUGUUUCUAACUGCAAAGAAAAGUCAAACGGACCCAAAUUUGUAAGGGGACCAAAUCUUGCUACUUGAAAUUGUUUAUGCAGGAAAAAUAAAGAGAAAAAGAAGAACUGAGUCAUCUGAUCAAGUUGUUGAAGAAAAAGGCAGUCAUUGAAGUUGAAUCAAUACUAUGCAAAAGACCUCAACAGUGAAAAGAAGCUUCUUGAUCAAAAAGCACAUGGCUCAUUGAAUAAUCAACAUAAGGAUAAGACUUUCCUUUAUUUCUUCUCAAUUUCUGUUUCAAAGUUCUUUCUUAUGGUUAAACAAUUAUUUUUUAAUCAAUGUCAUCUGCUUUAAACUGCUUCUGCUCAUGGUUAAAAUUCAAAAUCAAGUUUUUAACUGCUGCAGAAAAACUACCAAUUGUUUCUUCGAAACAACCGAUUGUUUUGAGUCUGACAACACUAUGAAGAAAUUGUUUUAAUUGCUAUUUUGAAUUUCUAUCCCUUGCAGAUCAAUUUAAAAGAGAGACUCUUGGUCAAAGGAUCUAUGUUGAAAGCUGAUUAUGUUCAGAAAGAAGUUACAACAGUUAUAAAGGAAUAUAUUCCAAAAUCUUGGAAAUUCAAGAGCCUUAAUGACUAGUCAAAGAUCACAUGUGAAGACCAUGUGAUUUUUCAGCUUUUUCUGACAUUUUCUGUGCAGAGUAGAGUCAAGUCCUCACUCUUUGAAAACCAGGUACCAAUUAAUGAAAUUAAAUUCAUAUUGAUUCUCUUACUGCUAUAAAAUCUGGUGCAGAUUUCUUCCACAAGAACAACCAAUUGCAACAUCUCUUGCAAUAUCUCUUGCAACAUCUCUUGCAAAAAUCUGUGAAGUGUGCUCUCCUCUGUUUUCGUCUCUGCUGUCAUGGAAUCAACUCCUCCCACCUCAAAGAGAGUCAAAACCAGGGCUGUAAGGUCUGGAGGAAGGCUAGAAGGCUGGUUUUCUGGAGACAAUGAUCUCAUUGAGAAGUAUAGGUAUGAAACAAGUAUCAAGAAGAUAAACAACCCCAAGGUUGUAUGCUUUGAUUGGCUGAAAAGUCAAAAGCUUGAUAAUGUGAGAAGGUUGCUCAAGGAUCAAUCUCUCAGAAAGUUCCUGGAGAUGAAGGGAAACAUUUAUCCAGAUUUGGUGAGGGUGUUCUACACAAACUUGAAUUUUGAGGGAAACAAUCUAGUUUCUCAUGUGAAAGGUGUACAAAUGGAGAUAACUCAUGAAGUAUGGACUGCUGUUGCUGGACUUAAGUUCUCUGGUCUGAGAAUCAACAAGGGAAACCUUGGUUUGGUGGAGGAUUUUAACAAAAUCCAAUUCUACAAAAGUUGCUUGAAGAAUAAUCAUGCUCAAGUUAGUACAUGCUCGGUUGGAGGUUUGAAACUUGAUGAGAGAUUGCUUGCUCUCAUUGUAACUUGGAUUCUAACUCCAAGGGGGAGUAAUCAUUCUGUGCUAACUGAAGAAGAUCUGGUUUAUAUCUUCUGCAUCACCAAGAAAGUCAAGAUCAAUUGGAUUCAUAUAAUCAAAGAACACAUGCAAAAAGCCAUGAGGUUAGGUGAUUAUCAUUAUCCAUAUGCUGUUUUGAUAUCUAAAUUUCUACUCUAUUUUGAAGUUAAUCUUGAAGAUGAAACUUCUGAGCUGGUCAAGUCAACUCAAGAGUUGAACAAUGGAUCACUCAGCAAGAUGGGUUUUACAAAAGUAGGUGGAAAAUGGAUAAGCAAGGAUGGUGAUCAUGGUGCCUCAUCUAGUGGUGCUGCUAAUCUUGAACAAGAUGAACCUGCUGAUAUGGAUGUUCAACAUGAAGAUCCACCUGAAGAUUUUCAAGAUGUUGGACCAAGUGCUGGUGAUGGACAUCAAGGAGAAAGGAUGCAAACCAUGUCGCCUUUUGAAAGACUCAUGGUGAAUAGGUUUGAUAGCUUUGCUGAAAAUCAAAGGAGCCUCCAUGAUCUCUGUGUUAGUAAUUUCCAAAGGAUUGACACCAGGUUUGACAAUAUGGAUGCAAGGUUUAUGACUCUGGAUGAACAGAUUGAAGUUGUUCAGAAUUAAAUCUUUGAUCUUCAGUUUGCUGAUGAAGAAGAAUGAAGGAAAAACAACCGAUUGUUUUUCUGGUACUAUAACUUUUGCUUGCUGUUUUGGCUAACUGAAUUGCUGAAUCAAUUGGUUCCUUAGAUAAAUUCAUUCUAGUUUUGAAAAGUUUGCGAAAACCCUCUUUAAACAAUUCACCCACCCUCUAGUUUAAAGCCAUCUUUUCUAACAGUAUGUAUUGGUCCUGAGAGAGAUGCAUGCCACCAGUAGAUGUUCGAGACACUUGAAUUCCUAAAAAAUGAUGAAGACUACCUAAAUCUUUUAAUGCAAAAGAACUCAAAGUGACAAUGAGGUUAGUAAUUCCAGUAGGUGAAGAUGCAGUGAUGAUUAUAUCAUCAACAUAAACCAGCACAAACAUAGUAUAAGACGAAGUAAAUUUAGUAAACACAGAGGUAUCACUUACUGUAGGACAAAAACCAAUAUCACAUAAAGUUGUGCUAUGUUUAGAAAAGCAGGAACUGGGUGCUUGCUUGAGGCCAUAGAUUGCCUUGUGUAAUUGACAUACAAGAGUGGGAUCAUGGGAGAUAAAACCAGGUGGUUGCUGCAUAUACACACGUUCAUUGAGAUCACCAUGGAGGAAAGCAUUAUCAAUGUCCACUUGACGAAUAGGCCAGUUAUUUGUAACAACAUGCGAAAGAACAAUGCGAAUCGUAGUGGGUUUGACUACAAGACUGAAGGUCUCACUAUAGUCAAGCCCCUCAGUUUGAUUGAAGCCUUUGGCAACAAGGCGUGCCUUGCAACGUUGAAAAGAGCCAUUUGCAUGCAAUUUGGUUUUAAAAAUUCAUUUACAACCUACCAGAGAGGCAUUGGAUGGGAGAGAAGUGAGAGUCCACGUAUUAUUUUUUAGGAGAGCUUGAUACUCAUCAGUCAUUGCUUGGGACCAUACGAGAGAAGCCAUAACUUCCUUGACAGAAGAAGGAGGAGAAGGAAUAGUAGAAACAACAGUAUAAAUUUUGGGUUUAAUGAUGCCUACCUUUGGCACGAGUGGUCAAGGGAUGAGUGUUAGUAGGAGCAGGAAUAGAAGGAAGACAUUCAAUAUUACUAGUUGCAGAAGCACCAAUGUCAGUAGUGGAAUUGCUAAUGUUACCAGUUGCAGAAGCACCAAUGUCAGUAGUAGAAUUGCUAUCAGAAACAACAUGCUCAUUAAAAGAAUUAGUAUUUGUAUGAAAAACAAUCAAAGUGGGUGAAAUAUCAAGUGGGUGCUUACGAGAAACAGUAGGCAUAGCAAAACUAUUUGAGUUCUCGUUAUAUGGAAAAGUAGUUUCAUCAAAACGAAGAUGAUGAGAAACAAUAGUCUUACCAGUGGGCAUGAGACAAAUAUAGCCUCCAUUAGUUGGACUGUAUCCAAGAAAGAGACAACACUGUGAUCUAAAAUCAAACUUAUGACUAUUAUAGGGGCGUAAAUUUGGAUAACAAGCACAACCAAACACUUUGAAAACAUUAUAAUCAGGUUUGCGUUUAAACAACCUAGCAUAAGGAUUAUCACCAUUCAAUACAGGGGUGGGAAGAGCAUUGAUAAUGUGGGUGGAAGUUAUGAAGGCUUUUGCCCAGAAACGACGAGGCAAAGAAAUAGUGGCAAGAAGCGUUAGGCCCAUAUCAACAAUAUGCAUGUGCUUUCGUUCAACAAAUCCAUUUUGUUCAUGGGUGUAGGGACAUGUAAGUCUAUGUUGAAUGCCAUCAUGUUCAAGAAAAGGUUAAAGGCAAAGAUAUUCUUUGGCAUUAUCAGUUUGAAUAGUGGAAAGUUUAGAAUUUGUUUGGUUUUCAGCAAAACUUUUGAAUUUUUUAAACACGGAGGAAACCUGAGAUUUAGUAUGAAGAACAUAUAUCCAUGUAUAUUUUGUGUAAGCAUCAAGAAAAGAGAUGUAAUACCUUGCACCAUUUGAAGCAGGUAUAGGAGCAGGGCCCCAUACAUCAACAAACACAAGUUCCAACGGACGAGAGUAAAUGGUAACAAAAGAAGUAAAAGGAAGUUGUUUACCAAGCAUACAAGCAGAGCAAAAUUUGAUAUCAGAAGAACAACAUAUAUUACAAUUCUGUAAAAUUUGUUUUAAUGUGUCAGAAUGACAGUGACCAAAGCGUUCAUGCCAGACAUUGACUGUGAGUUUAUUAUCUACAAAUGAAGUAUGAAAAACAGAGGACAUAUGAGGAGUGUGCAUGGUUGGAAAAGUGUAGAGACCAUCCUUAAGAAUGCUGCGAAGAAGAACUUUUUUCGUAGCCUGAUCAACAACACAACAAUGGUUAACAUGGAAUUGAAAAUACACAUGAUUGUCACGAGCAAACUGAGAAACACUAAGUAAGUUCUUAGUUAUCAGUAGAACAUGUAUUAUAUUGCGCAAUAGUAAACGAAAAGUUGCAGAUCUAGUAAUAGCAAUAAACAAACCUGAGCCAUUACCCAUUUUAAUAGUUUCCGUGCCUUAGUAAGGGUGCUUGGUUGAGUAGACAGUGGGAUCUUUCGUUACAUGAUGUGUAACACCACUCUCUGGGUACCAAAGCGGAUCCUCAUCAGUGGAAUGAAUGCCCAUAAGAGACGCAUUGUUGGGUUGAGUGUCUGAGAUCGAAAACUGAGAAAAAUUAGCACGAGGAGGUGGAUUGGGUUUGUGGUCAUACCAUUGCUAGCACUGAAGAGUAGCAUACCAUAUUUGCCACUAACUUGACACGUUGGUUUGGAAGAGGUCCAAGAACCACGGGUUUGAGAACGGGAGAUGCGAGAACCACAUGCAAAAUUUUGGGAGCGAGAAAACCCACGACCACCACGAUUGCUAUGGAACUUGAGAUUGACUUUUUCAUUUGUGGGAUUCGAAGGCGUCCAAGUUGUGAGAGCGACAGUUGCAGGAAAACUGAGAGGAUCGAGUUGAUGAUGGCAUUCAAGACGUUUUUCUUGUACCAGAAGCAGAGCUUCAAUCUCUGCAACUUUGUAAGGAUUAAAAUCAGGAGGAAGACCAUCAAGAAUGGUUUCGAUGUGAUCUUCAACGGAUAUAGGGGCACCAACUGCAGCCAGCGCAUCCACCGUGCGUUUGAUAUCCAAAACGUAUGCAGAGAUAGAACAAUCUUUCUUUAGAUUCUUUAAAAGGAGUUUCAAUUUCUUGAUCUGGGCUUGAAAAUUACGUGUUUAGCGUCUUCUAGAUCUGGGCUACAGAGGUAAGACCCACCAUUUGGGUUAAAAUCGGAGUGGUCAUGGACGCUAGAAGCCAUGCAACCGACAAAUUAUCUUAUUGCUUGUAAGAGAUGAAUGCAAGAUUGGGGCUGAGGGUGCCAUCGGCAGCAAAAAGACAGUGCAGAGGAACAUUAGUUCCGUCAAGAAACGAGGAAAGCAGCAACCCAUCAACAAUGGCCAGAACCUGUUGUUUCCAUAACAUAAAAUUUUUGUCAUCUAGUUUGAGCGGAAGAGGAGUAAUAAGGUGAUGUAGGGAGACGGAGGAGGAACUCUUGGUGGAGAGAACCUGGGUGGACGAAGAGGAUGAUGUAGAAGAAGGAGAAGGAGGAUGAGUGAAAGCCAUGAAAGAAAAAUGAAAAGGAACUUUCUAGCUCAUGAUACCAUGUUAUUAUGAUGAGAAAGGAUAGGAAAGGUUCUGAUAUAAACUGAUGUCUGUUACUGUGUGUUGAUAAAGAAGCAAUUUAUACAUAGGGUAACACAUGGGUACCCUUAACACACUUCAAUAUGCAGUCGACACAAACAUUUCCUUGAUCACUCAAAACAAAGACUUGGCGGCCGAACUGGCUAGGUUGAAGGUGGAGAGUGAUGGGCUACUCUCCCGCUGCCAUGAUGCCAAGGACAAAGAGAAUGGCUAUCUGUCAAGGUAAAAAGCUUAAAGCAAAGUUUGAUUGACGUAACUGCUUUCGAGCAAGAGAAGAAUGAACAACUUCACGCGACUUUACAUAAAUACUGUAUGGUUUAGAAUGGGCCAAGUUGAAAAAUACUUUUUUUCUUUUUCACAAUCGAUUGUGAUUUAAUACCUGACUCAGUUUAUUUCGACUGAACCAAGAAUGAAUGGAGCUUAAAGAUCAACACCCUAAAAUAGUUGAACUAACUAUAAAGAUAAUUUAAGAGUUUUAUUAUUUAAUUUAUUAAUUUAUAAUAUUUUAUGCCAAAAUUUAGUUAAGUGGCAAAAGAAAAUAUAAUAUUUUUAAAAUUUAUUAUAUAUUUUUAAUUUUACUUAUAAAUUUUAUUUUUAUUAACAGGCAAGAGACAUUUUGUUUGAGACACUUCAUUUCUAGAUGUUGAACUCUGUAACAUCCUAAAAUAUAUAAAUUAUAUUUUAAAAGAAAAUAAAAUAAAAUCGUAUUCUUGACAUUUUUUUUUUACAAGUACAGUUAGCAACAAUAGAAAGAUGCUUCUGAUCCAUACAAAAAUAAUUAACGCCUAUUGGGGGUAGAGAGGGAGUUAUGAGGAAAACAGAUAGGAAGAAACAGAUUUAAGAAGCUAAAAACAAUCAUUUCGUAUAUUAUCAAAAUAUACCACCAAGGGUAUAUUUAUAGAAUAUAACAAUAUUGUAUAUUCAGAAAACUAAAUACAACUUAUAAAUAUCCCUAAAUAUCCAUGUAUAAGGCAAGCAUUAGAUGGGCUCACAUACAUACUUAACAUCCCUCCUUAAACUUAUGGUGGAAUUAAUUACUACCAUAAGUUUAUCUCUAAAAUGAGUAAAAACUGACUUAGAGAGCGGUUUGGUAAGCACAUCAGCUACUUGAUAUCGUGCACGAAGGUGAACCAAAGACACUUUCUUCUUUUGAACAUAGUCUCGAACAAAAUGUGUACCGACCAGGUAGUCGGGAGCGAUGACGUGGCAGCAAGCGAUAAUAUAGGCAUGUUAAGCGGAACACCUGGCUGACGAAAGGGAAGGACAUCGGGAAGUUCGUGUAGUCGCCAAUCGUUAAGUUGGCGUGCUCCGAUCUCUAGCAUAUCUAAACCGGCGGUCACCAGGCUUGUGUCGUAGUCGCCGUAUGUGAGCGUAGGCGACCAAGUGGUCAGAGAUCGCCGAGAGGGGGACAUCGCCGAAAGAUCAGGAAAGCUUGUUCAAGGCCUUCAAAGGACACGAGUAUGGCAGAUGAAGUUAUCAGAUGAUCAUCCCCUAGCCAGAGGUUGAGGCCAAGGAACAGUUUACCAGAACAUGCACGAUGAGCAAGUAAUGCAGAUCGUGAUAGCGGCAGGCGAGACCACAGAGAAGGUGUGCAUGGUGACACCCCGUGCUCGCCAUUAGAAGAGAUCGCGCUCCAAGGCAACUAUGCACCGAGUUGCUCCUCACCUGAGUAACUUAGUCGAACAGCCUGAAGAGUAGAAGUGGCGCUCAAGCAGAAGACGUUCCAGAUGGUGACACGUGUACAGCUGGAUGCGAGCCACGUGUCCAGAGGUGUAACCGUCAGGAGAGAGAAAAUGCACAGGUAUAUAAGGAACUCUUAACAGAUUCUGAGGUACGCGCGUUUAGAACACUUCUCUACGCUUUGAGAAUACUUGAGUACACUGAGAGAGUUUUUGCACGGUCCCUUGAGUUUCUAGCUUUUCUCUCUUAGAGUUUUGGUGAUUCCGUCACUGACUUGAGCGUCGGAGCGCGAUCGGCCGCAGCGGCGCCACUCUGUAUUUUGCAGGUUCUUGAGGAGAAUCGAGGUGUGAAGGACGGAAGCUAGCGUGGUGCAAAGCCGAUCCAGAGGAAGAUACCUUUGACGUGGCAAGACUCUUGCGCUCUGGUCAACCGGUAGGAUCAUCAGGCGCCCACCGUGGGGCCGUGUAAAACCUGUCCCCAUCCACAGUGUGAGUUCUUGAAGUUUCUGUGUGGUUGUGUGCUGGUGCAACCAUUUUCCACCGUUCGUUCGAGCUUUGUUCGGUGAAUUCGAGUUUCCCGCCGUUCGUUUGGGUUUUAAUCGGUAGUUUGAAGUUUUCCACCGUUCGUUCGAGCUUUCGAUCGGUUUCUUGAAGUUUCUUGCUGAUUGCGCGGUUUUCAAUCGGUUGAUUCGAUGUUUUACCGUUCGUUCGCGUUUCUAGUUGGUGAAUCGGGAGUUUUGCUGGAGGAGCGGUAGGUUCGUGGUAAGAUUGCAAGUUUCUGUGAAAGUUUCGACGUCCGAAUCUAUCGGCGUGUUGUUGUGGUUGCGUUCUUGGAAGUUCUUGGGAGUUUGAGAGUUUCUGACCGAUUGAUUGCUGGAUCGAUCGUUUGCUGGUGAAGGUCUUGUUCGCUGAAGUUUGGUUUGCUGAGUUUUCAUGAGAAAGAUGAGAAGCAACCGUUCAAGUCCCGUUGUGCCCGUUGCUGCAGAAGGCGUCAUGACCAUGGCACAGAUGAUGGAGAUCAUGCGUGCGCUGCAGGCGAAUGUGGAGGCAUCACGCAUAGAGCAAGCGAAGAUGCAUGAAGACCUGGUCGCCUCUCAGGCCAGGAAUGAAGAGCUCAACAAAGUGACUGAGGAGUUGCGUCAAGCUCUUCAGGAGCAGAGAGGACGCCCAGUUAUUGAAGAGGUCGCGCCGUCGUCGCCACCGCGCGUUUUCCCUAUGUCGUUUGCUCAGGCGAUCACAAACACGCCUAUCCAUGCGAGCGUAGUACCUGUGAAAGCUUCUUUCACUGGCGUGGAGGACCCUGAGGCACAUCUCACUACGUUCCACACACAGAUGAUGCUGUCAGGAGACUCGGAUGCUGUAUAUUGCAAGAUGUUUGUGAGCACGCUCCAGGGAACAACGCUGGAAUGGUUUGUGAGCUUGCCUACAGGUCACAUAACCAACUUUCAGCAGUUUUCGAAUCUUUUCGUCGAGCAGUACAUUGUGAACAAGGCACCACCUAGGGUGUCUUAUGACCUGUUCGACAUAAGGCAAUACCAGGGAGACUCCCUCAGGGACUAUUUGAAUCGUUUUGGAGCACAGAUGGUCCGCUCGCCUGCCAAAGACGAGGAGAUGCUGGUAUACACCUUCAAAAAGGGCGUGCUGCCGGGACCUUUCUGUGAGGUGCUGAUUAGGGCUCACCCCGCCACGUUUGCUGAAGUAAGGCGACUUGCGAUGGCCCACAUCGCCGACGAGAGUGAGGUCGCCGAGAAGAGAGGGAGCGUGGCCCCUACUAGGCCACGUGCCCAGACUAGAAUCUAGCCGCAGAGGGUGCUAGAGACGAUGGCGGCCAAGAAGGAUCAAAGGACUCGCCAUCCUUAUGAUCCAAGAAAAAACAAGGGAAGGGGCCUAGGGCGCCCCAGGGAGUACAAUUGCCCACCAAAGUACAAGUUUGUCUUGGGGUUGGCGGAUCUGAUCGCCAUUCCCAACAUAGCGGCCAGGCUUAAGGCGCCGGAGAAAGUGGGCGACAAGGUGUUAGGACCAAAACCAAACGCCUGGUGUUAGGACCAAAACCAAACGCCUGGUGUGAGUUCCACCAGAGUUUUGGUCACACAGUGGAUUCGUGUUUGGCCCUGGGAUACCAGCUCGACAAUCUGGUCAAGAGCGGGUUUAUGAACGAUUACCUGCUGGACAAGAGGACGGGAGGUGCGUCGAGCUCCCAGCCGGCGGGUGGUGAGGCUCAGCAGCAUGAGAUGCCCACCCAUGGCGAGAUCCACACCAUCGCUGGAGGUUUCUCGGGUGGUGGAUGCACUGCAUCACAAAGGAAGAAAUACGCAAGUUCUGUGAUGACGGUGGAUAUGUUCGAGGACCACUCGCCAGAUGUGGACAUCACGUUCACGAAGGAGGAUCUUCGGGACGUUGUGCCUCACGACAACGAUCCCAUAGUCAUCUCGAUUGUCACAACGGGAAGGAAGGUCCACCGGGUACUGGUGGACCAAGGAAGCUCGACGGAUGUAAUGUUCUGGCCGACUUUCACACAGCUGCAAUUACCCCUUGACCAGCUAAGACCCUAUGGAGGGUGCUUGUAUGGGUUCGCUGGCGAUCAAGUGGAGGUCAGGGGGUACAUCGAGCUAAGAACAACGUUCACGAAUGAGGUGGCCUCGAGGACGGAGAAAAUCAAGUACCUCGUUGUGAGUGCCCCCUUAGCAUAUAACAUUCUGUUGGGAAGACCAACCCUCAACAGAAUAGGAGCUGUGCCCUCAACUAGGCACAUGAAGGUUAAGUUACCAUCGAUGGAGGGGGUGGUGAUCACCAUCAGAUCUGACUAGAAGGAGGCGAAGAAAUGCUAUGAGAAUAGCCUCAAGAACAAGAGGUCAGUAAGUUACAUCACCACGACGCCGCCUCCCGGUGUGAAACCCAAGCCAACAGAAUGGCGAGUUGUUGAUGCGGCGAUGGAAGUGGCCGUCGGAGGCGAUGUCACCAUGGUGGAUGCUGAGGUUGAGGGAGAGAGCAGCAGACAGGAAGAAGAGGGGAGGAACCACCCAGAGGAAGCGAGGGAAUUGGGAAUCGCCAGGGUCGUGAUCGCCAGGGAAACCAGACCCAAACCCGUCGAGGAGUGGCUUGAAAGGGAGAUCGGGGGAAAGGUCUUCAAGCUGGGAAGAUCUUUGGAGGCUGAGCUCCAAGACCAGAUCGCCAAGGUGAUAGAACGGCAUCUGGAUGCUUUUGCAUGGUCAGCUUCAGACAUGUCGGGAAUUGACCCCGAUUUCUUGUGUCACCAUUUGGCAAUGGACACACAAGUCAGGCCAGUGCGGCAGAGAAUAAGGAAGCUUAACGAGGAGAGGAGGCAGGCGAUCAGGGAUGAAACACAGAAGCUCUUCGCCGCAGGCCAUAUCCGGGAGGUCCAGUACCCUGAGUGGUUGGCUUAUGUCGUGCUGGUGAAGAUGAGCAAUGGGAAGUGGCGCAUGUGCGUCGACUUCACUGACCUGAACAUGGCUUGCCCAAAGGAUUCGUAUCCUUUGCCAAGCAUAGAUGCCCUGGUCGACAGUGCAGCAGGGUGCAAGUUGUUGAGUUUUCUGGACACCUUCUCGGGGUAUAAUCAGAUAAAGAUGCAUCCUAUGGAUGAAGAGAAAACUGCCUUCAUGACUGAGAGGUCGUGCUACUGACAAGGUGAUGCCUUUUGGGCUGAAGAAUGCGGGGACCACGUACCAUAGAUUGAUGGAUAAGGUACUUGCAUCAAUGCUGGGAAGGAAUGUGCAAGCGUACGUAGAUGACAUGGUCGUGACCUCGUUAGAGAAGAGCAAGCACGUCUCGGAUCUGGAGGAGUUGUUCACCACGAUUGCCAAGUUCAGAUUAAAGUUAAACCCCGAGAAGUUCAUUUUCGGCGUGGAGGCAGGGAAGUUCUUGGGGUUCCUCUUAACUGAAAGAGGAAUAGAGGAAAAUCCUGAUAAGUGUGCUGCCAUAUUGGUGAUGAGGAGCCCGGUUACCGUGAAGGAGGUGCAGCAACUUACAGAUCGGAUGGCCGCCCUGUCUCGUUUCGUAUCAGCUAGCGGAGAGAAAGGCCAUCCGUACUUCCAAUGUUUAAGGCGAAACAACAAGUUUGUCUGGUCGAAGGAGUGUGAAGAAGCCUUCGUGAAGCUUAAAGAGUACUUGGCGAGCCCGCCGGUUUUGUGCAAACCCCUAGUAGGAACCCCUCUCAGGUUGUAUUUCGCUGUGACUGAGAGGGCGGUGAGUGCGGUGCUUGCCCAAGAUCAAGACCAGGCUCAGAAGCCUAUUUAUUUCGUCAGCAAGGUUUUGCAAGGCCCAGAGGUGAGGUAUCAGGCAUUGGAAAAAGCUGCACUGGCUGUAGUAUUUUCGGCGAGGAGGUUGCACCACUAUUUUCACAGUUUUACAGUGCUGGUGAUGACCGACUUGCCCAUCCAGAAAGUCCUGAAGAAGCCUGAUGUAGCUGGGAGAAUGGUGAAGUGGGCGGUGGAGCUGUCGGAGUUCGACAUCAAAUAUGAGCCCCGAGGUCCGAUCAAGGGGCAGAUUUUCGCUGAUUUUGUGGUCGAGCUCUCGUCAGAAGCAGCACGAGUUGAAGGGGAUGAUUUUCGUUGGGUGCUCUCGGUGGACGGAUCGCCAAACCAGCAGGGUAGCGGUGUUGGAGUCAUUCUAGAAGGGCCCAACGACGUGCUGAUAGAACAGUCCCUUAGGUUUUCCUUCAAAGCCAGCAACAAUCAAGCAGAGUAUGAAGCGUUGAUCGCCGGAAUCUUGCUGGCCAAGGAGAUGGGGGCUAGGGUGUUGAUGGCUAAUAGUGACUCGUUAUUAGUUACGGGACAAGUAACAGGCGAGUUCCAGGCCAAGGAUCCACAAAUGGCGGCUUACUUGGAGUAUGUGCAGGAGUUGAAGAGUUCCUUUGUCUCAUUUGAAGUGGUGCAUGUGCCCAAAGAGCAGAAUGCCCGAGCAAACUUGCUAGCCAAGCUCGCCAGUUCGGGCAAGGGGGGUAGGCAGAGGACAAUGAUCCAAGAAACUCUGAAGACGCCUAGAGCAUUUGUGGCAGACCACCUGGUUCUUCAGAUAAGCAAGUCGACGGAGAAAGCGGCGAGGAGUCACAGGUCCUUGACCCAGGAGACUUUAAGAUCGCCGAGAAUAAGAGCAUGUUGGGGGGAGAGGGUGAACAUGACGUAGGUCUGCGCUACGCAUGAGCCAGACACAUGGAUAACACAGUACCAGUGCUGCCUGGCAGAUGGCCUUCUCCCGCUGGAUCCGAUGGAGGCUAGGAAGAUAAAGAAGAACUCCAGCAAGUUCACCAUGAUAGAUGGCGAGCUGUAUAGGUUUGGGUUUACACACCCACUCCUAGAAUGUGUGCACGGAGAAAAAUGCACUAGAAUCAUGGCCGAGCUCCAUGAAGGGAUAUGUGGAAGUCACGUCGGGGGUCCAGCUCUGGCUGCAAGAACUCUCCGUGCAGGUUAUUACUGGCCAACGAUGAGGGAGGACUGCAAGAAGUAUGCACAGUGUUGCAAGCAAUGUCAGCAGCACGCCGAUUGGCACAAGGCGCCUCCAGAAGAGUUAAAGUCAAUUUACAGCCCUUGACCGUUUCAUACGUGGGGAAUUGACAUCCUGGGACUGGGACCUUUCCCAUUGGCGAUCAGGUAGAUUAAGUACUUGGUGGUGGCGAUUGAAUACUUCACCAAGUGGAUCGAAGCAGAACCAGUAGCCCAGAUCAUCGCACACAAGAUUGAGAGCUUUGUAUGGAAGAACAUCGUGUGCCGGUUUGGUGUGCCUAAGCGCCUGGUGUCAGACAAUGGGACUCAGUUUGCAAGUCACAUACUGAAAAAGCUGUGCGAAGAGGUGGGAAUUCAGCAGGUGUUUGCAUCCGUCGAGCACCCUCAGACAAAUGGCCAAGUAGAGUCCGCCAAUCGGGUGAUGCUAAAAGGCUUGAAGAGAAGGCUAGAGAAAGCCAAGGGAUCGUGGGCUGAAGAGGUGCCCUGCAUAGUUUGGGCGUACCACACCACCGAGCAGUCAGGAACCCACGAGACCCCGUUUAGCUUGGUCUAUGGAUGUGAUGCAAUGAUUCCAGUGGAAAUCCAGGAGAGCUCGCCAAGAUUUCAGAAUUUCGUGGCGGAAGACUCAAACGAAGAAAGAAGGUUGAAUCUGGAUUUGCUGGAUGAGGUCAGGGAGGAGGCAAGGGUAAAGGCUGAGGCAGUGAAAAGGAGGAUUGAGCGAAGGUACAACUCGAAGGUGAUGCCAAGGCAGUUUAGAGAGGGCGACCUGGUGAUGAGGAAGGUCCACCAGUACGAGAUGGAAAACAAGUUAUCGCCUAAGUGGACAAGACCGUUCAAAAAUAAACGAGGCGCUCGGGAACGGCGCCUACCGCUUAGAGACAUUGGAAGGAGGGGCGAUUCCUCGCACUUGGAACGCCACACACCACAAGUUAUAUUACAGUUAAAGCUUUGUAAGUAAAAACGAACAUGAAGAGAUUUGCAAGCUUUCUGUUAAAACAGUUUGAAGGGGCACUCUUUUUUUCCUAAGGAGGGUUUUUAAUGAGGCCACCCAAUAAAGAAGAAUUUUCAAAGAGCUUAAAGCUUCUAAAGAUUGCAUGCUUGUUGUUUCGAAAGUUUUAGAAAAGAGACCUUAUCACUCGUACGUGAUUCAAGGCAAGUUUAAAGUUACGCUGCAUGCUUUCUAUGAAAAAGUUUUAAAGUCCCCAUCGCUUUUUGGCGAUUGGCGGCAUCAGUUAAAGUUUUAAAGUCCUCAUCGUCUUUCGGCGAUCGGAGGCACCAGCGACGACUAAAGACCUCAGCGCUCUCGUGCGUUUGGAGGCAAGAAAAGAAAAGACCUCCUCACCCUCGAGCGAGUGAAGGCGAGAAAGAGUAAAAGACCUCCUCGCCCUCGAGCGAGUGCAGGCGAGAAAGAGAAAAAGUCCUCAGUGCAUCCAGGGGGAGGAGAUGUACAACCUGGGCAAGUUGAGGCACCAGAUAAAGUCCUUCUCGCCGUUGAGCGAGUUCAGGCAAGAGAAAGUCCUUCUCGCCGUCGAGUGAGUUCAGGCAAGAUAAAGUCCUUCUCGCCGUCGAGCGAGUUCAAGCCAGAUAAAGUCCUUCUCGCCGUCGAGCGAGUUCAGGCAAGAGAAAGUCCUUCUCGCCGUCGAGCGAGUUCAAGCCAGAUAAAGUCCUUCUCGCCGUUGAGCGAGUUCAGGCAAGAUAAAUUCCUUCUCGCUGUCGAGCGAGUUCAGGCGAGAAAAAGUCCUUCUCACCUCAGAGUGAGUUUAGGCAAGAUGAACUGAAAAGUCAGGGGUGUUCGUGACCUUAAACGGCGGGAAGGGAAGGAAAACGCCUUUCCCCUUUUAAGUGAAACAUCAAUAUUGACUUAGUAAGACCAGAGAAAACUUCCACGCCUGUAGGCGGUGGGAGGGCAGAUAAAAUCCUUCUCGUCCUGAACGAGUUCAGGUAUGGCGUGAAGGGUGAAAGAGGUUUAAGAGAUAGCUAAGGUAAGUUCAAAGAGAACACCUCGUUAUCCAGUUCUUUGUUCUGAAACUCAGGGAAGUAGAGAAGGAUCCGAAAGGCGCCUCUACCCCCAGAUGAGGGAACAAUAGUCGAGCGAUGAAGGCAAAGAAAGCCUACAUCGCCAAAACCCUACGGCAAUCAGAAGAAUACUAGGCGAUGACGAGCGUAAAGGCUAGCCUUGCCGGACAGAUCAGGUAAACUGUAUUGUGAUGCAAGUUUAAGUUAAAACCUGCUGCCUAGUAAGUAACUUAUUGCCUUAAGUUUGCAAGUUACGUUAAAUGUCAUCGUUUGAAAGUUGAUAGUUGCUCAGAUUUUACUUUGAGUUAACAGUUCGAUAAAUUGUUAUGAGAUUAACAGUUUGCUCGAGUUCAAAGCAGUGAACAGUUAAGCCUGAAGAAUCGCUAAGUCAAUUUGUUUAAGCGAGUUCUACUGGUUAUGUUGGUUAAUCACACAGCGAGUAAGAAGCGUUUGAGGCACGGUAUUAGACAACAAAUAUCUUAAGCAGAAGGAGUUAUAUAAAGCAAUGUCAGUUCAAAUACAUAAAAAGAAAAAUUACAUGUAAAGUUCGUACAAGCAGAAAUAAGCGCCAAGUUUCAAAAAACAAGUGAUAGAGGGAGGUGAUUAAUCUUCAGAGGGCACGAUCUUCCCAUCCACCACUUCGUUGCAGAUUGACACCAUGGAGAGAUCGAGCUCGGGAUAUUGACACGAGACUUGCUCCAAAGCGGCGUCGAACCCGGCGGAAAGGACUUGGGCGGAGCUUUGCUCGAGCUCUUGAGCCUGCUUCUUCAGCUCGUCAGUUUGCUUCUUCAGUCCUUCGUUUUCUUCACGAGCUCGAGCAAGCUCUUCAGCAGCUUUCUUGUUUUCCUCCCGAGCCUGGGCCAACUUUGCAGCAAUCCUCGCGUUUUCCUCUUGACCUUUGCCGAGCUCAGCUUUGGUGUCGUCCCUCUCCUUCUCGACUUUCCCGAGGAGCACCUCCCGAUCUGCUGACCUCUUUUCAAGGUUCUCCACCUUGGCCGCAUCUGCUUUCAUUGCAGCCUCCAAGUUGGCCACCUUGAGCCUAUAAGGCACAAACUUACUCUCCAGCUCGAUUUUCUCUUGAAUUUGGAGGUGCAGUUUUUGGCGCAGAUCGGAGACCUCCUUGUGCGCCUCUUAGUUCAGCAUCCAUGGCGUCCUCCAGCCUUUUGGUGACGAGGCCGUCCUCAGUCGCCUCGUCAUCCUCUUCUUCCUGUACCACUUGAGGAGUUUUCCUCUUUGGCUUCCUCAAGACAAGUGUUUUUCUUUGGGGGGCGGGUAGUGUCUCCGAAGGAGUUAGACCUUGGGAAGGAGUUAUGCCCUGAGCAACGACGAUCUCCACCACCGAGUUAGGCACGGUUUGGGAACCUGUCGCCAACUUGUGAGAUCGGGCGAUCACCCUCAGUUCAGCUAGUUUACCUUUGUCCAACAUGAAGUCUGCACAGGGUAGAAAAUAGAUGAGUAAGCACAAAAGCAAAAGCAAGAUAUACAAGUAUAUGCACGCAGGAAUAACGCAAGCAAGUGGCACAUGGAUUCAAAAUCAAGACCAAUGCAGAACAAGCAGAACGCCGAAGGAUGGAAUGGUAGGAACGUUGAGUUAGUUCCAACACAAAACAAGAGUCUUGGUGCUGGAGAAAGGGCUAACCUAUGUGAGCUUCAAGUUGGCCCUCGAAGAACUCGAAGGAGAUGAUUGAGGCGGUAGGGAAAGUGAUGUUGGCAGCUGCUACGCUCUUCCAGAAAAGGCAGAGAUCUUUGUCUAGCUCGCCCAUGUUGUCAGGACUCCUUGGCCUCCUGAAGCAUUCCUUGGAGUCUUUGUUCCCCUUGUGUACCCAGUACAAGGGGAAACCGUCGAGCAGUGAGGGAUCUUGCUCGUUUGGGCGCACCUUGAUGAACUUUCCUUUCAAGUCUUUGUAAGAUUGUUGGAAGAUCGAGAGGAUUGACCUCCCAGCAAUCCCGUUUAAGCUAAUCCAGAGGCGGUCUCCUUGGCGGGGUUACCUGAGCGAGGUUGGCGUGAGAAGUUGCAGGCCUCUCAGCCUGGGUAGAAGGAGCACCAGAUGCUCGUGGUGGGUUACGCGCUGGUGGAGGAUUUGCCCCAGGAGCAACCCUACGUGCUUGGGGUGGAGGGUUUCGCGACGAAGAAGGAGGGUUCGCGGUGGAUUUUGUGUGAGUCAUCGCAGGAACUGCAAAGGAAAAUGAAAGGGAUGAAACAAAGCCAACAGAACGACUCGAUUGAGAACAAAGAAGACAGAGCGAACGAACAAGAGUUCGUUGGGAUGAACGUAACGAAGAACGAAGCCCUAAGCUACGAGAGAAGGAGAAAGGGAAAAACAGCCCACAACGUAUGCUUCAGACAGAUAAUGGAUGAUGCGAAUCGGUUAAAAUGCAGCAAAUAUCAACCGAAGAAGUAAAAGGGGUACCUUUUGAUGAUCGGAUGAGCGUUGAAGAGAGUUGGAGAUUGAGAGAGUUGAGAAGCUUCGUGGGUUCGCAGAGAAAAACUUAGAGCGUUCGAGAAUGCAGAAAGAUGAUGGAACAGUGGAAGUGCAAGGGGUUUAAGGGUUUUUCGAACGUUUUCGGAAGCGCAAACGACAACUGAAGAUGACUGUUGAUGGAGCCACGUGUCAAGCGAUUGGAAAAAGGGGUUUGGUGGAGCGUCGGAAAAGCUGAGGGUACGGACAUUUGGAAUUCCGUGCCAGCGCCACGUAGAUCGACGGUGAUGUGACCUCUUAGUCUUUUCGCUGGACAAGUCUUCGCUUAAGACUGGGGGCCUUGUGUACCCACCAGGUAGUCGGGAGUGAUGACGUGGCAGUAAGCGAUAAUAUAGGCGUGUUGAGCGGAACACCUGGCUGACGGAAGGGAAGGACAUCGGGAAGUUCGUGUAGUCGCCAAUCGUUAAGUUGGCGUGCUCCGAUCUCUAGCAUAUCUAAACCGGCGGUCACCAGGCUUAUGUCGUAGUCGCCGUAUGUGAGCGUAGGCGACCAAGUGGUCAGAGGUCGCCGAGAGGGGGACAUCGCCGAAAGAUCAGGAAAGCUUGUUCAAGGCUUUCAAGGGACACGAGUACGACGGAGAUUUGAAGCCAGGGAACAGUUUACCAGAACAUGCACGAUCAGCAAGUAAUGCAGAUCGUGAUAGCGGCAGGCGAGACCACAGAGAAGGUGUGCAUUGUGACACCCCGUGCUCGCCAUUAGAAGAGAUCGCGCUCCAAGGCAGCUAUGCACCGAGUUGCUCCUCACCUAAGUAACUUAGUCGAACAGCCUGAAGAGUAGAAGUGGCGCUCAAGCAGAAGACGUUCCAGAUGGUGACACGUGUACAGCUGGAUGCGAGCCACGUGUCCAGAGGUGUAACCGUCAGGAGAGAGAAAAUGCACGGGUAUAUAAGGAACUCUUAACAGAUUCUGAGGUACGCGCGUUUAGAACACUUCUCUACGCUUUGAGAAUACUUGAGUACGCUGAGAGAGUUUUUGCACGGUUCCUUGAGUUUCUAGCUUUUCUCUCUUAGAGUUUUGGUGAUUCUGUCACUGACUUGAGCGUCGGAGCGCGAUUGGCCGCAGCGGCGCCACUCUGUCUUUUGCAGGUUCUUGAGGAGAAUCGAGGUGUGAAGGACGGAAGCUAGCGUGGUGCAAAGCCGAUCCAGAGGAAGAUACCUUUGACGUGGCAAGACUCUUGCGCUCUGGUCAACCGGCAGGAUCAAAAUGCAUAUCCAGUUGAAAGUAUUUGGUCCUGGAGUGCAUAAUUGGGUUAGCACUUAAGAGAACAACUCCCAAAUUAUCAGAAAAAAAUUUAGGUAAAGAAGGGUGAAUGUGUAGCUCAUUGAGUAAAGAUAGAAGCCAUAUAAUAUCUACUAAAAUUCCCGCAAUGCUUUUAUACUUAGCUUUUGUACUGCUUUGUUACACAACUUUUUUUUAUGAGAACUCCAUGAUAUAAUGUUUGAACCAAGAAAAAACGCUUAUCCUGUCGUUGAUUUUCUAUCAUCCAGAUCUGUGCCCCAAUCAGCAUUAGCAAAACCAAGGAUGGAGGACUGAGAACUGCGUUUGAUAAGAAGGCCAUGAUUGGUGGUACUAGCAAAGUAGCGAAGAAUUCUUUUGACUGCUUUCCAAUGAUGAUCUUGUGGGUUAUGCAUGAACUGGCAUGCUUUUUUCACUACAUCAGAUAAAUCAGGUCGAGUGAUGAGAAUAUAUUGUAAAGCUCCUACCACAGAUCGAUAUAAAGUAGCAUCUAAAACAGCAGUGGAGCCAUCCUGUUGAAGGCGAAUAGUAGACAACAUAGGGGUUGGUUGAGCUUUUGCAGUGGCCAUAUCACUACAUCGCAAAAGAUCGUUGAUAUAUUUAGGUUGAGAAAGGUGAAGACUUCCAUCAAUAACCUUUGAAACUUCAAUGCCAAGAAAGUAAUGUUGUGGACCGAGAUCCUUAAGAGCAAAUCUGGAACUUAAAUGAGAAAGAAGAGAUUUAAUGGCAUGCGUAGAUGAUCCAGUGAUGAUUAUAUCAUCCACAUAAAUGAGCACAAAUAACGUAGAAGUAUUAGUAAACUGAAUAAACAGAGAAGUAUCACUUUUUGUAGAAUGAAAACCAAGAUCUUUAAGAGUACAACUUAGCUUAGUAAACCAGGGUCGUGGUGACUGUUUUAAACCAUAUAUAGCUUUAUGUAACUUACAAACAAGAGUAGAAUUAGAGGAUUCAAAACCUGGAGGUUGAUUCAUGUAGACAUCUUCUGUGAGAUCUUUAUUAAAAAAUGCAUUAUUAACAUCAAUUUGAUGUAUAGGCCAAUUGUUAGAAACAACAUGAGAUAACACAACUCUAAUGGUAAUAGGUUUGAUAACAGGGCUAAAAGUUUCAUUAUAGUCCAAACCUAGAGAUUGGAUGAAGUCUUUUGCCACUAACCGUGCUAUAUGUCGUUGAAAUGUACCAUCUGCAUUGAACUUGUUUUUGAAAAUCCAUUUGCAACCCACAACUUUAACACCAGAGGGCAGAUAAGUGAGACUCCAUGUUCUAUUUUGAAGAAGAGCUCGAUAUUCAUCUUGUAUAGCUUGUAACUAAGAUGAGGAUGAUAAGGCAGCUUUAAGAGAGACUAGUUCGUGAGCAUAAAAGACAGUAGUUGUAUAAAUCUUAGGUUUAAACACUCCAGCUUUGAAUCGAGUUAUCAUAGGAUGAGCAUUGUCGAUUAUAGGAGGAUCAGUGGAAACCUCAUUAAUAACAGAAGAAGGAAAAAAAGUUUAUGAGGAUAUAAAUGGUGUAGUGUGUCAGUUUCUUGAAGCAGAUAUGUUUGGUUACUUGAUGUUUCACAUAGCAAUCGUUAGGAAAAAAAUUCAAAGUAGACAUUAUUAUCUUUGGCAAACUGAGAUACACUAAGUAAAUUUUUUGUGAUGUGAGGAACAUGAAGAAGAUUUCGUAAGAUAACAGCUGUAUUAGUGUGUGAUGAAGUAUAUUUCGCAGUACCAAUAUGUGGAAUACGCAUACAUGUACCAUUACUAAUUCGAACUUGAUCAGCACCUUGAUAGGAGGAUUUAUUGAUAAAGACUUCUGAAUCAUUUGUGAUAUGAUGGGAUGCCCCACUAUCAGGGUACCACAGACGAUCAGUUAUGGUGGAUGGUGCUCCAAGAAUGGAGGAUUGUUCAUCUAGGUGAGAAGGAAAUUGAGACAUGUUAGCAGUUAAGGAAUUUUGUUUAGACUGAUCAUACCUUUGCCAACAAUGAAGCGCUGUAUGACCAAUUUUGCCACAAAUCUGGCACGAAUGUUUAACGGUGUGCCAAGGCAUAUUGAAAUUUGAAGCAUUGUCGUUGGGAAUACGAGCUUUGGUAAAGCGAUUGGAGCGGGAAUAACCAUGGUUUCUUGAAGGCAUACGUCCACCACGAGAAGAAUUAGGGUUAAACCGAGAACGAGAAUUUGUAGGGUUUGUAAUAGUGACAUUUCCUGAAACAGCAUUGGCUUGGAGAAGAGACGGUUGAAUUUUGUGCUUUUCAAAAUGCUCUUCUUGAGCAAGGAGCAAGGCUUCAAGGUCAUCAACACUAUAUGGAUCUGUGCGUGAUAAAAUUGAUGUAAUGAAACCAUCAUACUCAUCGGAGAGGCCAUCAAGAAUCGCUUCGAUGUGUUCCUCGGUGGAGAUAUCAGCACCGACCGCUGCCAAAUUAUCUACAGUUUUCUUAAUAUCCAGAAGAUAAGUGGAUACAAACUUAUCAUUUUUGGGGGUUUUAAGAAUAAGCUUCAAUUUCUUGAUUGUUGCCCUGGUACGAGAUGCGUAUGAAGUGCAAAGGCGUUUCCAAAUGUCAGUGGAUUUCUCGAGACCAACCAUCUUCGUGAGAACUGUGGACGUCAUCGACGCAAGGAGGCAGGCAACAAUAAGGUGAUCUUGCUGGGUAUAGUGAAGAUAGUCAUCGUUAGGUUUGAAAAGUUGACCACGGUAGGUAUCGAUCAGGGACACCACUGGCGUCAAGAAAAUGUUCAAGAUUAAGACCCUAAUUGUAGCCAGAACUUGCUGCUUCCAAAGAAGAAAGUUGUCAUUAUCUAGUUUUAGACUGAUGGGAAUAAUGAGCUGAUGUGGGAGAAGAGACCCCAUGGGAAAGGAGGAAGAUGAAGAAUUGGUGGUGGAAGAUGUAGAAGAAGAAGAAGUAGUAGCGGAAGACAUGGCUGAAGAAAAAAAAUUCAACUCUGGAUACCAUAUGAGGAAAACAGAGAGGAAGAAACAGAUUUCAGAAGCUAAAAACAAUAAUUCUGUAUAUUAUCAAAAUAUAUCACCAAGGGUAUAUUUAUAGAAUACAACAAUACUGUAUAUUCAGAAAACUAAAUUCAACUUAUAAAUAUCCCUAAAUACCCCUGUAUAAGGCAAGCAUUAGAUGGGUUCACAUACAUACUUAAUAGGAGCAAAGAAAAUUUAUGAUAACUACAAGAAAUCGAGCCAGCGGAUUAGAAGAAGCAAUGGAAAAUGUGCAUGUAGCCUUAUUCACGGCUUUUCAAAACAAAGUGGUUGACGGAGGAGUGAGGAGAAAAUCCAUGUCGUCCAGAACGAGAACGAGGAUUUGAGAAGAAGAUUAACCGAAAGGUUGCCAGCACCCCAAAGCAACAAAAUCAAUCAGGAGAAAACUUCCAAAACCAUGCCCACCUUGUCCUUGUCUACAACGACCCGACCAAUGAAAACCGCCAGUCAAAACGGUGAGUCCAAGCCCUAUGUCUCGAUAUAUACGUUUAGGAUAGUCGUUGGAGCGUGCUGACACCCUUUUAUUGAUGAAAUCAUGGAAGUCCUCUCGAUUUGGAAAGGGCUGAGGAUGGACAAAUACGACAAAAUGACCGAUUUCGACGAGCACAUUGACAUAUAUGUUAUGCACAUAAGCCUGUACACCGCAAACAACACAGUGAUGUGUAAAGUCUUCCCUACCUCCUUCAACCAUACAAUCGAAGAGUGUCAAACACUAAAGUACAAGAUUGAAAAGGUAAUCCAAGCUAGACAUUUGAAAAUAUUUGUUAAGACCGAAGAGUAUCGAUACAGGACACAAUCCCCUCUAAGGGAAGAAAGAUAAUUGGUGCAUCAAUAGUCACUACCAUGAUAAUGACCGAAGUAACGACGACCAAUCAAGGGUAGCAGAAAGACCAAGGAUGAAAGAGCCUCUGGACGCACCUUUGAGAGAUGUAAUAAACACUAUAUAUAGUGGGAGGAUUAACGGAUAGGGAGUCUCGGCAUCAGCUCGAAAAUGACACCUCCGAGUGGUGCAAUCUGUAAACCAAGUGACAACGUCCCCCCGAAGAAGGCCUCCCAUUAUGUUCACCGAUGUCGAUUUCAAUGGAUUUUACCCACUGUAGGAUGAUCUCAUGGUCAUUACAGUUGAAAUAAAACAAUUCACAAUUAUGAAAACACUUGUGGACCAAGGGAGCUCGGUGGAAAUCUUGUACUGAAAAACGUUUAAGAAGUUGUAGAUAUCUGAGGCCGACAUCUGACCAUACGAUAAGCAAAUCGUGGGGUUCUCGGGUGAAAGGGUAGAUACCAAAGGGUAUAUCGACUUGUUGAUGACUUUUUACGGCAAGUGCACCACGUUGUCAGAAGUAAUAAUUUGUCCCCCUAAGGACGAAUAUCGAUCCCACAAGGAACAAUUGACUAUUCAAGUACAAUAUUCGCUAAAUAUAAAACAAAAAAAAUAAAAAGUUGGUUUGAAGUUUGUUAUAAUGGCAAUAAUUAAAAAGAAAACAAAUCAAAAAGUAAUUGCUUUAAUUGGAAAAAUAGGGAUUGGAUUUCACCUGUCUCAUUCUUAUGUAUUUUGAUUAGCAUGUUAACAUUAUGUUCUUUGAUUGAAAUUGUUGCCCGUAUUAAAGUCAUUUAUAUCGAUUCCUCGCAUAUAAAAUUCUUAAGAAUGUUCCCUAAAUAUCGAUCUCUUGCAUAUUUAUAAGAACAACUUAGGAUCAUGCUCAGACCUUUAUAACAAUUAACAUUUCAAGUCUAUUUCUAACACUCAAAUAUGUUAAAUAUUGUUGUUUAGGUCAAGACCCUAAAAAUACUUCCCAAUUAGAUUUAAGAUCCUUAAACAUAUCACAAAUAUUUAAAAGCAAAACAACAAUACCAAUAAUCAAUCAAGAACAAAAUAUUAUAUCAUAGUUAAAUAUCACCUUAAUACAUAAGAGUUUGAACAGACUACUCCAAAUCCCAAAGGGUAAAAUUAGCCACGCAUACUUCUAGCACCUUCCAUUCUUCCAAUUGGUUACAAUUCACUCAACGAUGUUUUCCUCUCAACCUGGCACACUAGGGUUGUGCCUAUAACCCCCUAUUUAACCUAAUUCGCUAGGGUUAGGUGACUUCCUGCGUUGCGCUUUGGGCUUGUUCAUAAAAACAUAAAAUUAGCCCAAUUAAUCUAACGCAUUUUCGCUACUGAGUUGAACUUUUUUUCUCUCUUUUAUGCAUUUUGGGCCUUCUAGCUUUCUCCUUUUAUCAUAUAUAAUUUUUCUUUAGUCAAAUCUCCAUUCUUCCCUAGAAACUUGUAAUUAACAACAAAUUUGGAAAUAAAAUGUUCUUAUUCAAUUAAAGAUCAUAAAAAAUGUAAAAAGGUAUAAAUUCAUAAAUUAGGGAUUAUUUUAUAUGUAAAUUAGCAAUUAAUACUCAUAAGUGUCUAUAUUUUAAUAUGAAAUAUUACGGAAAUUAGACACUUAUCACCUGUACACCAUGUUUGGGGAGGGAACCCUAAUUUAUCGAACCAUUAAAAUUUGGUAUCUCAUUGUUGACGCCGACACUUCUUACAAUAUUAUGUUGGGUGGACCCUUUCUAUAUUAGCUCGACGCAAUAGUUUCUAUCCCCACCUGACAAUGAAGUUUUCAUCGACAUCAGAAGAUAUCCUGAUAGUCCAUGUCGACCAAAAGACAGAAAGGGAAUGUUAUGCCGCUAGCCUACGGGUGCGGGUUCCGAUGAGAACUGAAAACCAACAACCAAGCACGAGCAUGAUUGCCACGAUAGAUCUCAAUCUGAGAACGAAGGAUGAAAUACGAAUGCAACCAGACAAUGAAACCACAAUUGUAGAAAUAAGAAGCGAAGGCAUCACGAUGCAAAUAGGCACCUCCUUAGCAACCGUCAAUGGCGAAGUGUUGACCAAAGCUCUCGUCGAUAAUGCCGAACUUUUUACAUGGACAACAGCCCAAAUGUUUGGGACCUGAAUGUUUUCUCUCACAAACUCUUGAUACAAAAAGAUGUUUGUCCCGUGGCACAAAAGAAAAGGAAGCUUGGGGAUGAAAAGAGGGAGGCGGCAAAACAAGAGGUUGACAAACUGUUGAAGGUCAAUUUUAUCACCAAAGCCAAAUAUAGAACUUGGUUGCCAAAUUUGGUUCUGGUCAAGAAGUUGAGUGGGAAGUGGAGAAUAUGCACGAACUACACGAACCUCAAUAAGACUUGUCUAAAGUAUACAUAUCCUCUGUUAAACAUUGAUCGAAUCGUAUAUAGAGCAGCUAAACACAAAAUCCUAAGUUUUCUUGACGCAUACUCCUGUUAUAACCAAAUUCGGAUGCAUCCUAGAGAUUAGGAAAAUACCACUUUCGUGAUGGACAGGGCAAACUUCUUUUAUGAAGUCAUGCCUUUUAGGUUGAAAAAUGUCAGAGCCACACAUCAAAGGUUAAUGGGGCGGAACAUUGAAGUAUGAAGUCUGAAUCCUGCUAAGAACACGUCCAAGAUUUGAAGGAAGUGUUUGAUGCCCUCAAAAGUUAUAACUUAAGGCUUAAUACAAAAAAGUGUACACUCAGCGUUGAAGAAGGAAAAUUCUUAGGUUUCAUGUUGACCCACAAGGAAAUUGAGGCCAACCCUAACAAGUGUAGGGAAAUAGCCGACAUGUGUAGUCUCGCCAACAUGAAAGAAAUCCAAAGACUUAUGGGUAGACUCACUUCACUCUCCCGCUUCAUACCCAAACUAGCCAAGAAGACUCGACCAAUUAUCUUCUUGAUGAAGAAAAAAUCCAAGUUUGACUGGACUGACGUGUGUGAAUUUGUUUUUCUAAAAUCAAAACUACAAUUUAAUCCCACCGGUAAUCCAAAAGCCGAAGGCGGAACACCCUAUCAAGAUAUACCUAGCCGCUUCAGAGGAAACAAUAAGCUCAACCUUACUGCAAUAAGUAAAUAAGGAGAAGAGACCAAUUUACUUCGUAAGUCAGACGUUUCUAGGUGUGGGAACUAGGUACCAAAUGAUUGAAAAAGUGGCCUUCACCAUUGUAACCACGUCGAGGCGGCUAAGACCGUAUUUUCAAAAUCACAGAGUUUUUGUGAAAACAGACUACCCCGUAAGCAAGGUCAUAUGUAAACCAGAUCUCGCGAGAAGAAUGAUCGGAUGGUCGAUCGAGCUAUCCGAGUUCGACAUUAAGUUCGAACCUCAGGGCCUAAUAAAGUCUCAAUGCCUGGUUGACUUUGCAAUAAAAACCGAGCCUAAAGAAACGUGGCGUGCACUAUGGCGAACCAAAUUUCAAGUUCAGUAAAAUGGAAACCUCAUAAUAUUGUUUUUGUCAAAAGAUAACGAUUGACCGAACAUUUCUUUACACUUUUUAAAAAAUCAGCAUUUAAAGUUUUUAUAGGAAGAGCUAAAAGGGGCAAACAAAAAGGAGUGUGGAGUGUCAACUAACGAUAACCACCCCACUGAAAAAGUCGGAUGCACUAAAGUAGUGAAGAAAAAACUAGGGGGUAGGAGACAGCCGCAACAUGUCGCAAAUGAAGCGAGAGGCUUAGUCGCCCACGACUUCAGAUGGAGCUACAUGGGGGUGACGUUCAGCAUAUGAAGAACAUCCAUGGUGAAGUCAUCAAGGGAAAAGUAGAUAUGAAGGUUGGUAAUGAAGCAUGUAUACACAUAGAAGAAGUCGGACUCGACUCUCUCUCGACCAUGACACACAUUGUCAAUUGCAUAACAUCGGUUGGUUGAGAUAAUGUCGACUUCCACAUCCAAACUCAACAUAGGGGACUUCAAAAUGAAGGAUCUAAUCAAAGAGGACCACCUAUAUCGAGAGAAAUGCUCAGUCAGCUUAUUAUCUACCCACUCAUAUCCCGUGCGCAAGGGUAGGUUGUUUUCACCUUGAUCCAUAGCUAAUUGUUUGGCCGAGUCAGGGGCAUCCCCCCGACAUGAACCUCUCUUGGAUUCCAUCUCUCAUGUACUACUUCCUUUGACAACUGAAUGGUUACAAAUCGAAUGGUUACAAUGAAUGUUGAACAAAUCCAUAAGAGUUACAAAUCCCGCCAAGAGGACAAAUCUUCUAGAAACAAUGUGGCUCUACAACAAAAGCUUUAAGAGCGAGGGGGCUAGUGUGCCAUCAAUACCAAUGGCCGAAUGCCACUACCAGGUGUCAUGGCUGAAUGACCACCCAAUUGAAAGACCGAACCCAUGCGAAUGAUAUGACCGAGUCUGUUUUUAGUAAACCAACAACUAAUAUUUUAUACAACGCAAUUAGCCACAUCAAAAAUACAAAAUCUUAUUUUAACACCGAGAUUAACUUUGUGGUCUAUCCUAAUACAAGUCCAAAAUCAAGGAACAAUUAGAACCUUAUAAAUAUGCACUAAAUUAAAAAAACAAAGAUAGACAUAAUUAAACAUUAUUUAUUACUUUUAUCAACUCUAUGCAGAUAGAUUCUAAGUUAACAGAUUUGAGUACCUUUUACAAAUAUUAGUCACCAACUAUCCAAGAUCGAAUACACUACAAAAGAGGACGACGUGACAUGAGUAGUUAGCACCAAUAGAAGCACCCCCUUCCGAUCCAAACAAAAUCACCCCUUCCUUACAAUCCAAACAAAGUCAAAUAAUAAUUUAUGUAAUCCAAAAGAUUACGUAAAGUAAAUUAAUAAACAAUUAUAAGAAAGAACUGACAGCAUCAUCACACCUGUACUUUUGGUAGUUGAUAUAAAAAAUUAUGUAUUAUAUAUUCAAAUAAAUAUAAAAAUACCCAUUGCUUUCACAUGGGAAGGCUUUGACUUUUAAGUAUGGGUAAAAACUAAAUCCACUCCAACUAUAUGAAGUGCCUGUGCAAUAGCCCUUCUCACCUCGUCCCAGUGUUACUGAAAAAUGGAGGUAUCAUCGUCAUCUUCUUCCUCAACAGCAAUACUAUGUGUGGUGACUGUCAUCAUAGCUGUGGGUUCCGUAUUGGCACUGAAGACGCUGAACUCUCUGUGGCUUAGGCCUAAGAGGUUCGAGAAGCUUCUAAGAGCACAAGGUCUUCAUGGAGAUCCCUACUCCCUUUCACCCCCCUCCUCCAACCAAGACCACCCUCCACAAAACAUGCAUCCUUCUCGAUCUUUUGUUCUCUCCGAUGAUGUUGCUCCUCGCGUCUUCUUGCCGGCUUACAACACUGUCGCCAAAUACGGUUCACUUUUCUUUUUAUUUUUCAUUGAUUAUGUAAUUCAAUUUUAAAAGUUGUUUGAAUCGAGGGUUCACUGGUAAAAGAAAAAUGAAUUAUUUGCAGGCAAGAAUUCGUUCUUAUGGGAAGGCACUACACCAAAGGUCAUCAUUACUGAUCCAAAUCACACCAAAGAAGUCUUCAAUAACAUUCAUGAUUUCCAGAAACAGAAGAUAAGUAACAGUGGCAAGUUCUUCUUCUGUGGUCUGAUAAGUUACGAGGGUGAUAAGUGGGCUCAACAUCGAAAGAUUAUCAACCCUGCAUUCAACUUAGAAAAAUUGAAAGUAAGCUUAUUAAUUUAAUUUAUCAAUAAAUAAUAUUUUUAUAGUAUUAUCUAAUUAUAAAUCGAGUUUCUUUCCUGGAAUGGUGCAUUCUCCUUGUUAAUUUCUCAGAUAAAAAAUAAAUUUAUUCUUAUAAUAGUUAAAUAGUGCAACUAAAGCACGAAAUCAAACAACAAAAUUGAAUAGAAAUGAUUGAAAAUGACUUUCCUAUAAUGUGUUUUACAAAGAAAUAGUCCAUGCCCAACUGUAUUUUUUUUCAAUUUUUAUUUAUUUAUUUUUAUUGUCUUUAAAAUUGAUUAGCUAAUUGAAUUGUGAAAAUUUUAACAAAUUUGAUAAAAAUUUUGGUUUAUAAAAUUUUGAAAAAUAUUAUUGGUUUUUUAAUUGAAAAUUUAAUGAAAAAAUAGUGUUAAAAUCUUAAACCAAACAUCGUAAAAGAUAAAUCAUAACUAAAAACGUCACAACUAAAUCCUAACUCGGAAAUCCUAAAUUAAAAGGUAAAAAAGUAGACCUUAAUCGUAAAACAUAAAUCGUAAAAUGUAUAGCUAAAUCCUAACCCGUAUCCUAACUUUAAAGUGUAAACCAUAAAUAUAAAACAUAAUACCUUGAACCGUAAGUGUAAACUCCAACCGUAAAAUUAUUUAAGACAUCAUGAAAUAAGUUCUUUUAACUUUUAAAUUAUGUAAUAAAAAUAACAUAGAAAUUUUGUAAUUUUGAUUACAUAUUGUCGAAUUAUGGAGUAUUAUUUUAUUCAGUUGUAAAAAAAGUUACGCUUUAAGUUUACGGAUUAGGAUUUUAGGGUUAAUGAUUUGGGAUUUACAUUUUUUUGACGAUUUAUGAUUUAGGAUUUAUGAUUUAGGUUUUUAGGUGUGAUGUUUUUUUAUGAUUUAUCUAUAUGGUUUAAGGUUUAAACACUUUUUUUUAAUUAAAUUUUCAAUUAAAAAACCACUAUGUUCAAAUUUUAUCAAAUUUGUUAAAACUUGCAUGACUUCAAUUAUCACGAAUUUUCUAGGAAGUAAUCUUCUACAUGUACGAAUUCAAUGUGUAAUCAAAAUCAUCUUCAAGGUGGAUUAUUUCUAUGCAAAACAUCAUUAUAGAAAAAUUGUUUUCAUGGUACAUGACUUCUUCACUAAUUUUUUUUUAUCUAGAAAUCAUGUAAGUCCAACACCACUUCUGUUGUUUGAUUUCGUGCACCUGAAACAUGAUUUACCUAUUAUGAAAUAAUGUUUUUUCUCCAUAUUAGGAAUAAACAAACUAGACAUUUUUAGAAAAAAAAAACCCUAUAAAUUGACAAAUACAAAAAGUUUGUAUUUUUUAUAUAAAAAUGAUACUAGCUAUGAUUUCUCACUGGUUAAAUUGAUGUAUAUUAUUUAAUUUGUGUUUAACAAUGAAAUAAACCACCUUUUUCUAAAAUCUCAACGUGGAUUGAUACUUAAUUGACAGAAUAUGCUACCAGCAUUCUUCCAAAGUUGCAAUGAUGUAAUUAGCGUGUGGAUGGGAAUGUUGUCAUCCGAUGGAAAAUGUGAGAUUGACGUUUCGCCUUUCCUUCAAAAGCUGACUUGUGAUGUAAUUUCCAGAACAGCUUUUGGAAGCAGCUAUGCAGAAGGAGAAAAAAUAUUUCAACUUUUUAGAAUUCAGGGGCGCCUUAUCAUGACUGCAAAGUACACUAACAAACCAAUAUUGAGGUAAGACCACACUUAUUCUUGGUAUAAUGUGAUUACUAAAUUAAGCAUUUUUAGUUUUAUUGAAAUUGAACUCACAAUGAAUUUCAUAAGAACCUCAGAGAAUCACCCUAAUAGCUAGUCAUUGUAAAUAGAGAUUAAGCUCUCCAUAACAACAAAUCACUGCUAUAAUGAUGACAAAUAACUAUGAAUUACAUACAUAUUUUGAUUUAAGGUAUAUUUGAUAUCAGUUUUCAAAAAAUCUUUGAAAUUCAAGCAAUGUGGUAUACCUAAUGACUAAUACAAGAACUAGAGUUAUUGCUAUCGAAAUUCAACGUGUUAAGAAAUUGACUUAUCGUGGUUUAAUUAAGAAUAAUUAUAAGUCUUAUAAACUAGUCAUUUACUUCAUAAUUGUUAUGCAUGUUUUUAGGCAUAUACCAACACUUGCCAAAAUGAAGAUGAGAGCAGCUGAUAAAGAAAUAAAAAGUUCACUUCGGGUUAUGAUAGAAAAACGAGAGAAAGCCAUGAAGAAUGGUGAAUCCUGCAAUGAAGAUUUAUUAGGCAUACUCGUGGAAUCAAAUCAAAUGGAAAUUCAAGGAAAUGGAAACAAUAACAGUGUUGGAAUUACGAUUGAAGAAGUAAUUACUGAAUGUAAGUUAUUCUACAUAGCAGGGCAAGAGACCACUUCAUCUCUGCUGGUUUGGACAUUUGAUCAUGUUGAGUAAAUAUCCUGAAU
rnacentral:lncRNA from 1 species